rnacentral:lncRNA from 1 species
GCGCCCCCCGGCGGGCGGAGCCCGGCGCCGCGGCCAGGAUUUCCCACCUCGCUCCCGCGACUCCGCUGCGGGUCUGCACACCCGAGGACUCGGGGUACUUAACCGAAACUAGCAAUCCCAGGCGGUACAAGGCCCUCCAUCGUAGGCAAAGCACUACCUGAAUGUAGAUUUGGGCCAUACGUUGGAAAAUAAGACAUGAGAGUAUGCUCCGAUCAACUUUUACUGUUCACUGGACAACUAUUUUGGGAAUUUGCAGACCUAUAAAGCCCAUCUAUAAAUCUCAAGCAUGUCCACUUUCAGAGAAGAGAAAUGCUGACAACCAUUUAGUCUCUGAGGACAACACUUUUAAAGGACUCCAUCAUAGGACUGGAGAGAGAUUGGAUGUCAGAGUGAUUGAUGUGCUCCUACUGGAAGAAGGCAAACAUCCAUAUGUGAACUGCCUGUGGGGUUUCCAAGGAAAGGAACGGCAGGCAGCCUCUAUGAGCUUAAAGAAGAUAACUGGGACUUUAGUCCUAUAACCUCAAGGAACAGUAUUCUGUGAACCAUCUGAGAAGCUUGGAAGAGGACCCCAAACUCCAAAUAAGAAGCUCAGUGUGUCUGACACCUUGACUGCAGGCUUGGGAGGUCCUGAGCAGAAGAUCCAGUUCAACAGUGCCUGGACUCCUGAUCCACAAAAACUGAUAACAAAUAUUUAUUGUUUUAAGAUGCUAAGUUUGUAGUCAUUUUUUAUACAGCAACAGAAAACUAAACACACACAUAAACAGUUAUAAGUGC